CAGAAAUGAAGGCUUGUCCAAAAUCCUGUGUUUGGCGUGGAAAGAGGGUUGCUUCAAAGAAAAAGGAGGAAUUCUACUUAUUAAGAUGUCCCAGGCCUUUGUUGUUACUUUGGUUCUGCUGUUGACUACCUAUGCUGCUGUGUCACUUCCAGUUGACCAUCCACAGCCUGGGUACGACAAUUACAUGGCACGUGACUACCGAGAGAACAAGAGAGAUUUCCGUGGUCCCCCAGAGGGACCACGAAGGGGAAGGCGAGGUUACCUCGACGAUUCUUAUGUGUACGCCCCAGAUACCGAGAAAGCAGCUGAUUAUGAGCCUGUCAGCUCGUAGAGAGAAGGCUACAUUACCGAAGUAACUCAUAGAAUCAAGGACUUACAAGAUGAAAUAAACUAACGUCGCUGAUUUUAAAUGUGCACAACCUCA